AGGUCUCAGUGUCGAAACAAAUGCUUAUUAUGAGAUAUGCCCGUACAUUGUGUAUGGGCCAAAGUUCUCAAAAUUAACAACUGUGAGAUUAAAAUUUUAGAUAAAUUAAUUAUAUUUUUGAUCCUCAAAUUAUGAGAUGCCUGACACUUUAUUUCUAAAACUUUAAUUAGUUAUAAUUCUGGCUCAAACUAUAAGUCAUACAAUAUUUUAGUUCUCGAACUUUCUGAAUUAUUUCAAUCAAGUUCUGCAAUUUUAUUUUUUUUUAAUAGGAAUAAUUUCAUCAAUACCCCUCUGAAAAAUCAUAAUUUCAUGGAUAACCCCCUAAACUGAAAAAUAUCAUCAAUACCCCUCUAAAACCCAAAAAUAUUCACAGAUACCCUUUAGCUUAACUUUCAGUCAAAUGGUCGUCCAAUAUUUUGUAAAUACCAAUUUUACCCCUAGCAACAAUUUAAACAUUUAAUAUUUAAAAUUAAUUAUAUGAUCAAUUUUUAACAUUUGAAUCACAUAAUAAUUUAACAUUAUUUCUAAAAUAUUACAAUUAAAGAUCCAUA
rnacentral:lncRNA from 1 species